rnacentral:misc_RNA from 1 species
GAUGAAGAACGCAGCGAAAUGCGAUAACUAAUGUGAAUUGCAGAAUUCCAUGAAUCAUCGAGUCUUUGAACGCACAUUGCGCCCCCUGGUAUUCCGGGGGGCAUGCCUGUCCGAGCGUCAUUACAACCCUCAAGCCCGGCUUGUGUAAUGGGCGGCCGUCUCUCCCCCCGGGGGGAGACGCCCCCGAAACUCAGUGGGGAUGUCGCGAUACCGAAGCCUCAGCUAAUGGGUAAACCACAGCUGCAAUGGCCGCGGCCGGCGUCCGCCUUCCACGGUCCGUCCGCCUAGCGCGGGCGGCCUUCUCAAGGUUGACCUCGGAUCAGGUAGGGAUACCCGCUGAACUUAAGCAUAUCAAUAAGCGGAGGA